rnacentral:rRNA from 1 species
AUUGAACGCUGGCGGCAGGCCUAACACAUGCAAGUCGAACGAGUGGCGGACGGGUGAGUAAUGUCUGGGAAACUGCCUGAUGGAGGGGGAUAACUACUGGAAACGGUAGCUAAUACCGCAUACCAUCGGAUGUGCCCAGAUGGGCGUAGCUAGUAGGUGGGGUAAAGGCUCACCUAGGCGACGAUCCCUAGGUGGUCUGGGAGGAUGACCGGGCACGCUGGAACUGAGAAGCGGUCAUGACUCAUACGGUAGGCAGCAGUGGGGAAUAUUGACCACUGGGCGCAAGCCAGCUGCAGCCAUGGCGCGUGUGUGACGAAGGCAUUCAGUUUGUAAAGUACUUUCAGCGGGGAGGCGUUACCCUCAGAAGAAGCACCGGCUAACUCCGAGCCGUCAGCCGCGGUAAUUC